rnacentral:rRNA from 1 species
AGCGAACGCUGGCGGCAGGCCCAACACAUGCAAGUCGAACGAACUCUUCGGAGUUAGUGGCGGACGGGUGAGUAACACGUGGGAACGUGCCUUUAGGUUCGGAAUAACUCAGGGAAACUUGUGCUAAUACCGAAUGUGCCCUUCGGGGGAAAGAUUUAUCGCCUUUAGAGCGGCCCGCGUCUGAUUAGCUAGUUGGUGAGGUAAAGGCUCACCAAGGCGACGAUCAGUAGCUGGUCUGAGAGGAUGAUCAGCCACAUUGGGACUGAGACACGGCCCAAACUCCUACGGGAGGCAGCAGUGGGGAAUCUUGCGCAAUGGGCGAAAGCCUGACGCAGCCAUGCCGCGUGAAUGAUGAAGGUCUUAGGAUUGUAAAAUUCUUUCACCGGGGACGAUAAUGACGGUACCCGGAGAAGAAGCCCCGGCUAACUUCGUG